rnacentral:rRNA from 1 species
UACGGGGGGUGCGAGCGUUGUCCGGAAUCACUGGGCGUAAAGGGCGCGUAGGUGGUCUUAUAAGGGUGUGGUGAAAGCCCGGGGCUCAACCCCGGGUCGGCCGUGCCGACUGUAAGACUAGAGUGCUGUAGGGGCAGGCGGAAUUCCGGGUGUAGCGGUGGAAUGCGUAGAGAUCGGGAAGAACAUCGGUGGCGAAAGCGCUCUACUGGACGGUAUCUGACACUGAGGGACGAAAGCUAGGGGAGCGAAUGGG